rnacentral:hammerhead_ribozyme from 1 species
AUCCAACUGACGAGUCCCAAAUAGGCCGAAACGUGCGUUCUGGAU